ACGAACGCUGGCGGCGCGCUUAACCCAUGCAAGUCGAACGGAAAGGCCUGCUUUCCCUUGUGGAUUGCGGGUACUCGAGUGGCGAACGGGUGAGUAACACGUGAGUGAUCUGCCCCCAACUUGGGUAUAAGCCUGGGAAACUGGGUCUAAUUCCCGAUAGGACUGCAGGGUGGUGCCUGUGGUGGAAAACGAUUUUCUAGUGGUUGGGGAUGAGCUCGCGGCCUAUCAGCUUGUUGGUGGGGUAAUGGCCUACCAAGGCGGCGACGGGUAGCCGGCCUGAGAGGGUGGACGGCCACAUUGGGACUGAGAUACGGCCCAGACUCCUACGGGAGGCAGCAGUGGGGAAUAUUGCACAAUGGGCGGAAGCCUGAUGCAGCGACGCCGCGUGGGGGAUGACGGCCUUCGGGUUGUAAACUCCUUUCGACCGCGAGGAAGCCACCUGGUUGGAAGGGUGGUGACGGUAGUGGUAGAAGAAGCACCGGCUAACUACGUG
rnacentral:rRNA from 1 species